AUGGAUUCAGGGGGAUGUUCUUCAAGAAAUGUUGGGGAACCAUCAAGCAUUCGAUCAUGGGGGGUCAUUCAACGCUUCGACUCUUUACACACCUCCAACCUCCAGUGGCUAAAAUCGGCUAACGUUGUUCUGCUGCCAAAGAAAGAUGGUGCAGAAGGCAUCUCUGAUUAUAGGCCCAUUAGUCUCAUCCCAGCCAUCACUAAUAUCAUUGCCAAGAAUCUCUCGCUUCGGCUUGCUCCCCACAUGGAUGAUCUUGUCUCCAACACCCAGAGUGCAUUCAUCAAAAGAAGAAGUAUCCACGACAACUUCAUGUAUUUUCGAAUUUUCGCCCUACGUCUACACACCUGCAAAACGCACGCACUCCUCUUCAAGUUUGAUAUAAAGAAGGAGUUCGACUCAGUCAAGUGGGGAUACAUCCUGGAGCUUCUCCAACGGUUGGGCUUCCCCCCAAAUUUCUGGGAUUGGAUUGCCGCCUUGUUAUCAUCUUCUUCAUCUUGGAUUAUGUUAAAUGGGUUGCCCUACCUUCCGGUUAAGCACGGUCGCGGAUUCCGACAGGGGGACCCCAUUUCCCCCUCCUCUUCGUGCUGGCAAUACACCCCUUGCAUAAGAUCCUCUACUUGGCGACGAGGAAAGGGCUCCUCCACAAGAUCCGUGGUCGGGGAUCCAUGGUGUGUACCUCCCUUUAUGCGGAUGACGCGGCGGUCUUUGUUGCUCCCAUCAAGCGGGACAUGGACAAUCUCGCCUCUAUCUUGA
rnacentral:rRNA from 1 species